AAAAAACAGAGAAAGAGGGAGAGAGAGAGAUGCUCUCUCAGGCCACAAAUCCAGCCUGGGACUCCGGCGAGCCUCCGCCGUAGCGCCACCGUGUGUGGCGGCCAGAGGCUCAAAAUUGGACCUUUUUGGUCCUUUUUUGUAGCCCAUACUUCUAGGCGAGGAUAUGGGGCCGAAACUCGCAAAAGGGGAGGCCAAAGACUCGAAAAUGAGCCGAAACUCCUCGCCUUCUACCCCUCCGGCUCGGCUUUUGUAAGAAAGGUACCCUCUUUUUCUUUUUAUUUUACUAUAUUUACUUAUAUAUAUAAAUGAAAAGAAAAGAGAAUAAAAUAGAAAAAUCUUCCAGAACGAAAAGAAAAAAAACAACACCUUGAAUCUGUUUUUAAUAUUUCUUUCAAUUGAAUCUAUUUUUGUUUUUACAGAAGUUGCCCCCGGAAGAAGAAACCAAGUUACAUUUUCGUUGGCUUUUAUAGCUGAUUUUGCUACUGUUUGUGUCCUUUGCUUGCUUAUUUUCUUCUUUGCAGGCAUUUAAUGGGCAUGGUGGUGGGUCGGUGGCAGAGAGUUGAGGUGACAGAAGCAGGUGGUGGCAGCGACGGCAAGUGGGGCACUAGGGUUUCAGUCUCUGAAACCCUAGUCUGAUGUGGGCUUGUCCAUUGGGCUCGGGUAUUGGGGCUUAGUGUUUGGGCCCCGGGUUUUAAUGGGUUUGUUGGGUAGGUUUUAGGUUAAAAUUUGUAAUUAGACCCUUGGUCAAAAAUUGAGCCCUACAGCUGCCCCUCUUUGCUCAUAGUUGUGUAACGAGAAUAGAGCAAAGACAUCAAAAGGGACCAAUUUUUGCCCGGUCUCGUCGAGUUUUGACUUCUCUUUACGCUUCUUCCUCAAGUAGCUUUAUCUCAGUCCACUGUGCCUUUUUGCUUCGAUCUAUUCCACUGUAACUUCAAAAAGACAAGACUUGUAGCUUCAAUCCACUCUGUUGUAACUUCAGGGGGUGAGGUUUGUGGUUUUAGUCUGCUCCACUGUAAUGUUAUAGAGAUAAGAGUGAAUGCGAUCUUCUCUACUGCAACUUCAGCGAGAUAAGAUCUGUGGUUUUAAUCCGCUCCACUGCAACUUUAGGAAGAUAGGAUUGGUUUCUUCUGUCUGCUCCACUACUGUUUAGGGAGAUAAGACUUGAUGCGAUCUGCUCUACUGUAACUUCAGAGAGAUAAGAUCUUUUAUUUUAACCCGCUCCACUGUAGUCGAUGGAGGCAAGGCUUUGUUUUUGAUCAGCUUCACUGUUAACGCAGGAAGGCAAGAUCUGCAAUCUUUAACCAGCUCCACUGCAACCGAUGGAGGCAAGGCUUUGUUUUCGAUUUGCUUCGCUGUUAACGCAGGAAUGCAAGAUUUGCUAUCUUCAACCAGCUCCACUAUAAUCGAUGGAGGCAAGGCUUUGUUUUCGAUCUGCUUCACUAUUAACACAAGAAGGCAAGAUCUGCUAUCUUAAACUAGCUCCACUGCAACCGAUGGAGGCAAGGCUUUGUUUAGUCCAUUAAUCAUUAUUCUAAUGCAACAUGCUUUGCAAAAAGGGUCAUAACAAUGGAUAAGAAUAAAAUUGGUUUUGAGCAUAGCUCGAAAGGAAUAAAUUACCAAUAAUGAAGAAAUUGAUCGGGAAUGUAUAUCUUGGAAAGGAAACAAGGUAUUCCAAGAACAACAAAUAAUAUGAGAAUUUGGUGCCCCAGAUAUCGCAACUUGAACUUCUCUAUACAAACUUUCUGAAGACCAUUUUGAGUUGAACAUGUGUUUAGGAGAUCUACAGUACUCUGUCGAUGCCCCAAGAUGUCGCCUAUCCUUUUCUAUUGAUUCAGGUAUAGCAAGAUCACCACAUGCCUAAUUUGGUCAAGAUUCGGGUUGCUUUGAUUACCUCAUGCCCCACUUUAAUCAAUAUUUGAGCUGCCCUUUUCGGGCUUUCAACUCAAAUCCCCUUUGGCCUAAGGUGCCCUUUGCGGGUUUUCCCAUUAGCCUCUCUAUUUUUACUCUUUCAUUUUUCUUUUUUUCAUUUUCGUUUUUCAUCUCUUUUUUUGUUUUUUUGUUUUUUUUUGUUCUUGAAGUCCAUUGUCUUGCAGUACGGUGACAAACCGUGAUGUCUGAUUUUGAACUGAUUACAACCCUCAGCUAUUGUGCUAUCAUUCAAGUUCAAUACAAAUUCUAAUACAAUCCUCCCUGGAGUUCUAUACCGGCAUAUGAUGACAUUGACGCAUGCAGUAGCCUCUAUCCAUUUGAUGAAGUAAUUAAUGAUCUCAAAAGCAAAGCAGUGCCCAUUAGAAGUCUUCAAUAAUGGUGAUGUCCAUGCCCCAUUUUGCUCGAAAUUUGAGUCGCCCCUUUUGGGUUUUCAACUCAAAACCACAUUUGGUCACAAAGCGCCUUUUGCGGGUUUUCGCCUUGACCUCUCCUUUUCCUUUUCCUUUUUCUUUUUCUUUUCUCUUUUCAUUUUCAUUUUGACUUUGAUUUUGAUUUUUCUUUUUCUUCUUUUUGACUUUGAUUUUCUUUUUUUUUUUGAAUUGGAUCUGAGCUAUUGGGAUUAGGCAAGUCUUUGUUAUCCCUUUCGAAGAAUCUUCUCUGAUAUCGAAUUUCCUUCAUCGUGCUGUUGUGCAGAUUUCUUUAUCAGCGUUUAUCCUAGGCAUAUCCGGGUAUGAUCUUACAAAGACAUCUUUGAACAAGGUCUUGCUUCAUCUUUGAGGUCAGGUCAAUUCUAAUCUUCUCCAAGCCCACAAUUCCUAAUGAUUCCUUGUGAGGUAGGAUCUGUCAGUUCUCUUGUUCUACCAUCCUCAACAAGUCUGAGAUAAGCUACCAUCUUAUAAGAUUCGUCUAAACACAUGCCUCGCUCAAGAGGAAAAUCUGAGUCUAUAGUAGCGUCAUUCACGUAAUUUAUAUCUGGGAACCCAUAAUAAGUACCAAAGAAUAUGCAAAAGAAUGCAUAAAUUUAUGAAUAAUUACUUAUACAAGAGGAUUAUGAAUGAAUGAAUGAUGUGGAAAAAAAAAUCCAAAAGAAUAAAAUAAUCAGAAAUAAUUAUUCAAAAAGAAUGAAAUAAUAUUGGCUCAAAAGUGAUCAUAAAGAUGUAUUUCAUUAGAAUAAUAACGUUCAGACAUGAGCCUAUUUCACAAAGGAAAUUUCUAUCAUUUUAGGCUAAAAACAACAAAAAUGUUCUGAACAUUACUUUAAAAAGCUCUAGAGACUAUAGGGUUUUCUUCCGUAGUCGAAUUACUUAGAACACUUCCACGUUUAUAAAGGCGGAUAUCUAACAAGGUCCCUUCUUUAGUUGCUUAUGCAUUGCAUUCACUCCACUUAUCAAUUAUGAUUGGGUAAUGUAUUUUCCGCACUCGAGGAAUCAUCAAAUUUAACGAUGCCCAUACUGAUGAGCCUUUCAACCAGUUUUUUAAAAGCAAUGCAAUUUUCUAUGGAAUGCCCCGUAUUUCCCGCAUGAUAUUCGCAUUGUGCAUUCGCAUCGUGCCAUUUGGGGUACGGAGGCUGUGGAGGUUUCGUGUAGAGAGGGGCGACAAUACGUGCGUUGAAUAAGCUUUGAUACAACUCCUUAUAUGACAUCGGAAUUGGCGUGAAUUGGAGGUUCUCAGUGCCUUGCUUCACAUACGAUUCUUGUCUAGAUGAACCUUGCUGACUAGUAAUCACCUUUCUUGGCUGUGUAAUCGAUUUGUUGUAGGUGUUCACAUUGCUCACCUCAUUUUCCUUCUUCUUUAAGUCUGACCUCCUAUUAUUUUCUCUAGCAUCAAUCUUUCCACUUCUCACGGCACUUUCAAUCAUUUCACCGCUCAUGACUAUGUCUGAAAAACUCUUCGAAGCACUUCCUAACAUGUGGGUGAUGAACGGGGCCUUCAAUGUGUUGAUGAAGAGCAUCUUCAUUUCUUUCUCUAGGAGUGGCGGCUGAACUUGGAUAGCGACCUCCCUCCACCUUUGUGCGUAUUGCCUAAAACUUUCAUUAGGCUUUUUCUCCAUAUAUUGCAGGGUUAUUCUGUCAGGGACCAUAUCAGCUACAUGACUGUAUUGUUUCAUAAAGGCUUGUGCUAAAUCCCUCCAAGAACUAAUCUGGAUACGCGUCAAUUGAUUGUACCACUUAAACGCUGCCCCUGUGAGGCUAUCUUGAAAGCAGUGUAUGAGCAGUUGGUCGUUGUUGACGUAUCCGGCCAUACGCCUACAGAACAUAGUAAUAUGAGCUUCUGGGCAGCUGGUCCCAUUAUAUUUCUCGAAUUCCGGCAUCUUAAAUUUGUAAGGGAGCACCAAGUCCGGAACCAAGCUCAGAUCCUUUGCAUCUAUUCCAUAGCUUUCGAUACUUUCUAUUGCCCUAAACUUCUCUUCUAUCCAUUUCCAUUUCUCCUCAAAUUGUUUUGGAAAUUCCUCCUUCGCCUUGUCCUUUUCAACCAUCUCGUCAAGAUCUGGGACAGCAAUAUUAUUCGGGCUAUCACCGGGAUUAAAGCCCGCUCCGGGUUGAAAAUUCAUUGGGAUUGAAGCAUCGCCUUGGAACUGCUGGGGCCUAACCGACACAGAGGGUCUCCACGGAUGCAGCUCAGUCUGUACUUGCGCAUGCGGAGGCGUGAAACCUGGAGGAUAAAGUGGUUCACCAUUGUUUUCUUCUUCACUAACAAUCACAGGACCUUUACCCUUAUCUACUUCCUUCAAUAAUUGCGUCAUCUUAGCCACCAGAUCAUUUUGGGACUCCUCCAUCUUUUGCACCAUGUCACGCUGAAUCUUUUCUAUUUGCUCUUUCAUUUGCGCCUGCAACUGGUCUUGCAUUUCUUUUUGAAGUCGCUCUAGCUUCUCCAACCUUUGGUCCAUAAUUUUUGUCUUAGCUCGGGUGCCGUAACUUUGUUGGUUUUCCAGGUUAACUGAAAUGAUUUUAUUCGAUUAAGUUUUUAAUGGUCAUUAAUGCAUAUGAUGUGAUGCAAUGCAUGAAAAGAAUGUAAAGAAAAAGAGGCACUGAUUCUAAUUCAACUUCAUUAGAAAACUUUACUAGAUAAAGAGUUUCUUUACAUAAAAUAGACUACAUAUAUGGCUUUGCCCUUACACUUAAAGCCUUAACCUUUCUAAGAAGCCAAGCUAAUUCUCGGCCUCUGUCCGACUCUGACUCAUACUUCAAACUUAAUAGAUCAGCCUGAACCGCUAGAGUUUGCAGAUGAUCAGCUACUUCGCGCACUUGAGUCACCGCCUCUCCCAUAAUAUAAUCUCUUUCUCCAAUCUGCUCUUGAGACCGACGGAAUUGUCUUUGCCACUGCUCAUUACUUUCUUCCAGAAGCUCUAUCCGGAUUUCACUAUUUUGCAAUGCAUUCUCUAGCCCUCCUAUUUGUCUUUUUAAUUCUUCAAUUUUGUCUAAGCUCGCCCUUAAUUCAACCGUAGCAUUACGAUUACAGUACUGGUGGAGCGAUCUUUCUAGUUCAGUUAUCCGGACCUUCAACUCCGUCUUCUCGUCUUGGCAAACUAGUAGACUCUUUCCCAAGGCGACUUCUCGAGCCCGAGUAUCCUGAAAUUUCUUUUCCCAUUGAUUAGCUUUCGUCUUUUCCUCCUGAAUUUCUUGUCGCCAUUGUUCUGGCGUUUUACCCAAGCCAGCAGCUCUUACCGACCUACGCAACUUCUUGUAAUCUGUCUUCAGGCUGUCCAAAUCUUCUUCUACUUUGUUCUUUCCUUUUCUCAAUUUAUCGGCCUCUAACCUUUGAAUGUCCACAUCCAGUCCUAACUGCAUUUUUUCUUCCUCUAGUUGUUCUAUUUUCUUCCUCAAUUCUAAACUCCUUUUUUCAAAUUCUUGUUUGAUGAUUUCUAUCUCAGAAGGCAAAACUUGUAAGUGUUUCUCCAAAGAUCGAGCAGUUUCUGGAUUUGACGCCGGGAUGUUGUCGUUGAUCCUUUGAUCACGCCACCGACCAUACUCGGGGGUAAUUGUCGGACCCACGGCUAAGAUCUUUAUUCGACGAGUCUGGUUCCAGGCACUAGAUAUUUCCCGAACCUUCUUCUUGUAAUUGUCCUCCCUAUAGGAAAAAUCAUAAUAGGCCAACCCCUGCGUUGCUGGUAUGAAUUAUCGUGAUCUAUACUGUCUUGAUACGAGUAGAGGAGCAUAUCCGAUAGCUCCCCAUAUCCCGAGCAGCGGAACCCAGUCAAAAUCUCCACAUCGGUACAAUAUCUCAUCAGGAAUUAACCAAGGAGCCCUCCAUUCAAUAUCUUCAUCCUGGAGAUUCUGGAGUAUCUCUAUCCAUUUUUCUUCUGAAAUAUCAUCCCGUCUUGGCGUGGCCACCAAUUCUCCUAGAGGGGAGUAGCUAUCAGAGAAUACCCGAUAAGAGACCUUUUCGACUUUCCAGAAGUGGCUAUGGAACCAGGCCAAUAAAAGCUGCGCGCAUCCAAUAAACCUUCCCUCCCCUGCUUUUCGACACGCAUUCAAGGAUCUAAAAGUUUCAGCGAGUAUUGCCGAAACCGGUGUAACCCCUUUACUAAGCCGAUCAAACAAAUCAGAUACAGCCUCGUCUAUGUGUCCUAAAGCUUUGGGGAAAACCACUAGUCCAUAGAUACCUAAAGCGAAGACAUCGACCCUUUUCUUUAAGUCAGGAUGUACAAGCACCAAAUCUCGCAAACUUUUCCAAGGAACACAUUUACUGUCGCCCUUCUGUUGGAUCCGGGCAGCGACCCACUGCUCGCUCAUCCCAGUGAUGUUCAUUAAUUUCUUUAACAACGGAGGGACACAAGCAGCUCUGGAAUAAGCCUUGUCGACUUGAAUCUUUGGGCACCGAAGCAAGGUCGUAUACUCCUCCACAGUAGGCGUCAAAUCUACCUUCCCAAAAGUGAAACAACUGUAGGCAGGAUUCCAAAACUGAGCAAGGGCUCGGAAUAAAUACUUGUCCACUUUGACACUAAGCAGAUAAGGUAGGUCACCGUAGUUACAAUAGAAUAGCUGCUUGGCCUCGACAUCCCAUUGAUCCCAGACUUCUUUCAUUUCUCGAAGGUCAUUCUGGAUUACACUGAUACGGGUAAAAUCCCACAAUUCUGACACGUACCCUUCGGUAAGACUAUCGCCUUUCUCCCGUUGUGUCGUUUCAGCCCAUAUUCGCACAGCCGCAUUAUCCUCUACUUUAUCAACAAACCCCUUUUCCAUGAUAAGCUUUCUACCAAGAAACUGAACGUAAAUCGACACCUCUUUUAGAAUGAAGAUGCCAUGCAAUCACAAACAAAGUAAAUUAGCAUUAAACACAGAAUAAGAUUUAAAAUAAGCGACAAAUAAAUACAACAUUCAUUUAGGUAAGCACUAAAAAUUUGGAGUAGCUCUACCUAGGUCGGUUCCUAUGGCUCAUUACAUGUGGUUUGGUUCUAAAGUAGGGUACCUGAACCAGCAAAUUCCUCGAUCCUCACCCAUUAUAGGCUCAUACGGACCAAGUUCGAUUCAGGGGGAUACAUUUCCCUAUGGCCAUGCGGAGAUGAAAAUCUCACGAAGACAUAGGUACGGAUAUAUCCCGAAAGCGAUUCACUAUCCCAUGCGGAGGUGAAAACCUCACGAAGGCGUAGCUUCUCACUCCCACUUAAAGGUGUGACCAACGGUCAUGCAAUGCAAUGCGGAAAGAUACCAAAAUUUAAACAAACAGAGCAAUUAUAAACCCCAAUGAUGAUGAUUAUGAUAAAGACAGAUAAAAUGCGAUGAAAGGAUCGUAAUUUUAAACCGAAUUUUCAAUUUUGACAAAAGACAAAAAGUAAUCACCACGUGGCUUGACCCUCUUAUCGGUAUUCCCCAGUGGAGUCGCCAAGCUGUUGACACCAUUUUUUGGAUGAAAAACGGGGUUGACUUGGGUUUUGAAAAAAGAAACGGGAGUCGCCACCAAUCCUCUUUUUUUUAUGAGGUGCGAUUGGAUCACCUCGAAGAGGGGUUGUUUUUAAUAAACGGUUUGAUUUUAUUAAAACAACAAGUUUGGUCCACGAAAUUCAGAAAAACGGGUUCGGGAGUCGGUUACGCACGAGGAAGGAUUAGCACCCUCGAUACGCCCAAAAUUGGUACCUAGUUGAUUACUUAAUGUCUUAAUGUCAAAAAUUGAGAACCUUGAAGAAUUUUAAAAAUACGAUCCUUGUAUUAAAACGUUGAAAAUUUUCAGGAAAAAGGGGAUAUUUCACGUUAUUCGAGAAAGAGAAUCAUAUCCAGUAAGUUAGGACACAAUGUCUCAAAUUCCCGAUACGCGGAUGAAAAAUGCUUAUUUAAAAGAUAUUUUAUUAUCUUGGUUUUAGAAAUAAAUCAGGCCCAGUAAGUUAGGGCACGAUCUUUUCUUAAUUCCCGAGAUCGUUUAAAAACUUGAGUUUGAAAAUAUUCGUAUAUUUAGAUUUAUCGUGAAAAUUGAAACCCAAUAAGUUAGGGUAUGAUCUUCUCGAAUCUAAACACGAAGUGCCAUUUUUUAAAACAAAUUUUGUUAUAUCGAGUGAAAUAAAAACACGAAGUCGUAGUAAAAUGUGAAAGCAAAUUACAUUAUUAUGCAUGGCAAAACCAUGAUGAAUACAAAAGUAUAAAAAUAAUACGGGCAAUAAUACUAAAAUAAAAUAAAGAAAAAGAACAAAUCGAUAACAUACGAAAUGAUAAACCAUAACAUAUAAAUAAAAUGCGCAAAUACAUAUGAAUAUUAUAUAAAUAUAUAUAAUAUAUAUAAAAAUGUGCAUGUGAGAUAUAUAAAAAAAAUAAAACAAGAUAAAUAUAUAUAUGUAUAGAUAUAAAAGAAGCCAUAUAAAAAUAUAUAAAUAUGUAUACGUAUAUUCGUAAGAAAAAAAGAAAAACGGUUAUAUAGAUAUAUAAAAAGAUAUUAAGUCUUUUAAAAAAGAAAUAAUAAUAAUAUUAUACAUGUAUAUCUAAACUAUCAUAUAAUAAUAUGAUGAAUAAAAAUGAUAUAAAUAAUAAUGGAAAUAAUAAUCAUAAUAAUAAAUGAUAAUACAUUAAAAUAAUGAAGAAAAUAAUGAAAAUGCUAAAAAGGGGACUAAAUCGAAGUAUAGUCUCAAAUACGGGGCGGAAUCGAAAUAAAACAAAACAAAAAGGACUAAAUUGCGACGCGCGCUGAAAAGGCGAGGGCUAAAACGAAAAAUAUCCCGAAUAUUGGGACACGUGUCCCUUUAGUGAGCACAGGACUAAAUCAAAAACGCUAAAAAUAAUUUGGGCGAAAAUUAUAAAAUAUAAAAAGUGCAAAUAGGACUAGAUUGAAACACCCAGAAAGGAAGAAUGACCAAAUGGGUAAAUAACUCAAUCAUCCAAAACACGCGGAUCCUAAGACGCGGGUCGGGUCGCGCGUGCGGGUUUCCCCACCAAAACGACGCCGUUUUAUGUUUAGUAUAAAAAUAAAAAAAUAAAAAAAAACCAAAAACAAUCAGUUUCUUCAUUUUACAAAAAAAAACAGAGAAAGAGGGAGAGAGAGAGAUGCUCUCUCAGGCCACAAAUCCAGCCUGGGACUCCGGCGAGCCUCCGCCGUAGCGCCACCGUGUGUGGCGGCCAGAGGCUCAAAAUUGGACCUUUUUGGUCCUUUUUUGUAGCCCAUACUUCUAGGCGAGGAUAUGGGGCCGAAACUCGCAAAAGGGGAGGCCAAAGACUCGAAAAUGAGCCGAAGCUCCUCGCCUUCUACCCCUCCGGCUCGGCUUUUGUAAGAAAGGUACCCUCUUUUUCUUUUUAUUUUACUAUAUUUACUUAUAUAUAUAAAAGAAAAAAAACAACACCUUGAAUCUGUUUUUAAUAUUUCUUUCAAUUGAAUCUAUUUUUGUUUUUACAGAAGUUGCCCCCGGAAGAAGAAACCAAGUUACAUUUUCGUUGGCUUUUAUAGCUGAUUUUGCUACUGUUUGUGUCCUUUGCUUGCUUAUUUUCUUCUUUGCAGGCAUUUAAUGGGCAUGGUGGUGGGUCGGUGGCAGAGAGUUGAGGUGACAGAAGCAGGUAGUGGCAGCGACGGCAAGUGGGGCACUAGGGUUUCAGUCUCUGAAACCCUAGUCUGAUGUGGGCUUGUCCAUUGGGCUCGAGUAUUGGGGCUUAGUGUUUGGGCCUCGGGUUUUAAUGGGUUUGUUGGGUAGGUUUUAGGUUAAAAUUUGUAAUUAGACCCUUGGUCAAAAUUUGAGCCCUACAUACCUCAUUACCCAUUAGGAUGGCAUUAAAAAAAUUCCUUUAAAAGCACCUCAAUAAUGCAACUUUGAUCUCAUUCCGUUUAAGUAAAAAAAACUAAAACAAACAAAGAAUAAAGCAUAUAUAUUUAAAGUUAAGUAUUUUGUAUUUUUGGGUGGAGAUAAAAAGGUCAAUUUAUAAAUUUAGGCACCAAAACAUAUAUAUUGAAUGAAAAAUUAUUAAAAAAAAUCAAAGACUGUAAAGAAAAUGAAAUUCCUUAUAAGCCUUUUGAAUUAGUUCGUAUUAAAAGUGUUCAUUAGUGGUUGGAAUUAUUUUAGGUUUACAUUUUUCAAUUUGAGGUAGGUAUUUUUUUUAUUUAAAAAUAAAAAUAAAUAUUUAUAUUUAUAUAUUUUUUAUAAUUAAGAUUAAAUAAAUUUUACUAAAAUUUUAAAUAAUAAAAAUAGAGUUUAUUAGUCAAGCUUGGACGGGCUAAGUUUAAGCUCAAGUUUAUAUAUAUAUAUAUAUAUAUUUUUUGAAAUUGAGUGUGGAUUCAAUCCAUUAACAUCUUUAGUUCACACAUAUAUGUAAAUGACAUCCUUUGAUUGU
rnacentral:lncRNA from 1 species